UACGUAGGGUGCGAGCGUUGUCCGGAAUUAUUGGGCGUAAAGGGCUCGUAGGCGGUUUGUCACGUCGGGAGUGAAAACUCGGGGCUUAACUCCGAGCCUGCUUCCGAUACGGGCUGACUAGAGGUAUGCAGGGGAGAACGGAAUUCCUGGUGUAGCGGUGAAAUGCGCAGAUAUCAGGAGGAACACCGGUGGCGAAGGCGGUUCUCUGGGCCUUACCUGACGCUGAGGAGCGAAAGCGUGGGGAGCGAACAGG
rnacentral:rRNA from 1 species